AAAAAAAAACACUCCGGCCCUCUGGCAGGCAGGCAGGCAGCAGCUGUACCGCGGUGUCCAUGGUGGGCGAAGCGCUGGAGCAGGCACCGAGUCCUAGCAGGUAGCCGGCGGCGCCGCCCGCCCCCCACCCCAUGCGUCUCCGCCGCUACGUGCGGACCUCCCCCACGGAAGCCUUCUCCAACAUCCUCGUGUAGACCUGGGGCUCUGACCUCGUUGCAGACCUCUCCGUACUCCCUGACCAGCUCGCGGAAGAAGGAUCCUUCGGUUUCCAUUAGGUUUGUAGGUUUGUCAUACUCCAUUAUUUUCCCUGAAAGAGUAUAUAGCUCAUUAGUAUGGACUAUGAAAAUAUAUGAUGUAGUCCUAUCUUAUACAAAGGAUUUUGUAAGACUAAAAUAAUACAAUGGAAAAAGGCGGGUUUACUGGAACUAGAGAACAGAUCCACAUUGCCUUUGGGUUCCUGAGUAUGAUUCAUAUUCCGUAUUAAUUUUGUGCUGUUCAAUAAGGCUAACAAUAAGCGAAUCGCUGUAGUUAUAUUAUGUUGGGGAUAGGAAACUAGGAAGCAUACCAUCGCUCAUUGCAAGUACCAUAUUGCAGUCCAUAACUGUCGGUAUACGGUGCGCGACCAUAAUAACGGUGCAAUGUGUGAAUUCUGUUCGAAUAGUCUUCUGAAGGACAACAUCUGUUCCAUUGUCUAUAGAGGCCGUGGCUUCAUCAAGAACUAAGAUGUGACACCUUCUCAAAAGUGCGCGUCCCAAGCAGAAGAGCUGCCUCUGGCCCAUGCUCCAGUUCGAUCCGUCUUCCGCAACUGCAUGACAAUUAUCUUGAUUAGUAAUAUGACCAUUACACAGUUUCAGAAAUUGCGCUCUAAAACAGAUAUAUCUAGUGCGCCUAGGACUACUCACGGCUUGACAAAUUGAGUAGCACGAGUAUGUUCACCCUAUUUUGAACUUUGAAAUGACUGAGGUAUAACUUACUGUUUUCGCAGUUUCUUAGGAACAGAAAAAAUGAACUCCAGAAACUAAAGUGCAUAUGCAGAUGGAAUUUCCUACCAAGUGAAUCCAACCCCUGUUCUUUCUCCUGGACAGCUUCGAAAAGUUGACAUUUAUCCAGAACCUGCAACAGGAUAGAAGGUGAGAUAACAAUGGUGAUUCCUUUUAAGAUGUGCAAGGGACAUAAAAGGAGAAAGAGGCUGGUUGCUGUAUGGGCAUCGACGGCGCUGAAAGGGUCGUCGAGGAGAUAUAUGUCUGCGUCUUGGUACAACGCACGAGCAAGCUGAAGGCGCUGCUUCUGACCGCCACUCAGAUUCACUCCCCUCUCCCCGAUUUCAGUAUCGUCUCCGUACGGCAACAUCUCAAGGUCCUUCACCAGCGAGCACCUCGCGAGUGUUUCCUGGUACCUUUGGCUGUCCAUACGAGACCCGAAGAGGAUGUUCUCCUGCACGGUUCCGGUUUGGAUCCAUGCGUUCUGUGACACAUAUGCUAUUUUUCCGCAGACUUGAAUCUGAUGGAUGAACAUUUUACACAUGAUUAAAGCUUGUUGUCACAUCAAUCAUAACCUUAAGAACUGAUAAAUGUUUUUUUUUGUUCAUUUGAUAAACUUAGGUCCUCAACUGAAGAUAACAAAAUGAAGACAAUGUUGUUGGAAAGCAUUAUUACCGUGCCUUGAGUUCUCGGGACCUCUCCGAGCAUCGCAGCCAAAAGCGUCGACUUUCCUGACCCAACCUCUCCGCAAAUGGCAACCUUCUCCCCGGCUUUUACCACCAAACUUAUGUCCUUCAGAUUAGGCUUCAAUGGAUCUUCGCACCACGAGAAGCCACACGAGUUCAUCGCUACCGGGUAACUGAUGGCCACGGAGGAGCAUUUCUCCUUAGCUCGUCCAUUCAGCUCAGGUGCACCUAGAAACUUCUCUAUCCGAGUGAAAGCCACCUUAGCCUGCACCACGACGCCAAGAACCUCUGGUAUCGCCCGAAUCGGGUCCUGCACCAGACGCAGGGUUGCAAUGAAGGUGAAGACGUUGCUGGCAUCAAGAGGGAUCUCCAGAAAGUAGCAUGUCAGAAAUGUCACCGCCGAGACCCAGACAGGCGACGACCAGAAGAGGACGCUGUUGUACGCCCUGCUCAGCUGGAACGCCGACAGCCACCUGUACUCGACCUCCCUCAGCUCCUCAAUGGCCUUCUUGAAGUGACCUUCCCACGCGUAGAGCUUCAACACCUUCAUGUGGACCAGUGACUCUGACAUGGCCUUCAGCCUCGCGUCGGUCGCCUCCAUCAGCUUGCUCUGGAACCUGUGCUGCAGCUUGGCCAGCGGAGCGUUGCAGAGCACGGUGAUGACGACGACGACCAAGGACGAGACCAUGGCGGCGCCGACCGCGCUGUAAAGGAUCACCAGAGCGAUGCAGAGCUGGACGACCGUCGUCCAUGUCUGGUGGAACCAGUACGGGAACUCCCCGACCCGAUGGCCGCCGAGAGGAGCGACCUCACCUGGAGCCCCAGCCUCCGGGUGCGGAAGUACCACUGCCUCUGCGACAGCGACUCGCACAAUUUGCAGAUGAACAUGAGCGCAGCCAGCAUAUAGCCUUCAUGCUUGGAAUCGGAGGUCACUUUCCCGGUUGACAGGUUGAUGAAUGCCCUCAGAAGCAGCGGGCCUGUGGACAAGCUUCUCCAAGAACAUUGAGUACUGGCUCUGUGCCCGGUCUGCGGCGCCUAACAGCGGCAUGUCUUUGUCGUCGAGGGGCUUCUGGUAGCCCGUCUUCAUCAGAGGGUUCAGCCACCAGAAUGUCAUCUGGCUCAAAAUGCCAGCUCUGGCAAAGGGAGUCACCUUCUGGUGGGUGCUCUCUGAAGAAUCAGCAGCUACCUCUUGACUGUCAGCUGUAUCAUCC